CAGUAGCCGCGGUAAUACGUAGGGUGCGAGCGUUAAUCGGAAUUACUGGGCGUAAAGCGUGCGCAGGCGGUUAUGUAAGACAGUUGUGAAAUCCCCGGGCUCAACCUGGGAACUGCAUCUGUGACUGCAUAGCUAGAGUACGGUAGAGGGGGAUGGAAUUCCGCGUGUAGCAGUGAAAUGCGUAGAUAUGCGGAGGAACACCGAUGGCGAAGGCAAUCCCCUGGACCUGUACUGACGCUCAUGCACGAGAGCGUGGGGAGCAAACAGGAUUAGAUACCCGAGUAGUCCCUGUCUCUUAUAC
rnacentral:rRNA from 1 species